rnacentral:rRNA from 1 species
AAGCCGAACGGCGAGGGCGAUGGCAGAGACGGUUAGUAUUCCGUCACUGCCGCAUGGGGCGACGUGGAGACGGAGCAGUGAAACCACCGCGGGGCGACGGAAGUCCCCGUUGAAGGGUGUAGGUUAUGAGAUGGGCAGGCAAAUCCACCCGUUGAGCCGAACCUGACAGUACGGAGUCCUCCCCGGAGGAGUCCGAUAGCGUGGGUAACCAUACUCCCGAGAAAAUCCGCUAAGCUUAACCCAUGCGGCACCCGUACCGCAAACGGACACACGUGGUCGGGUAGAACAUACUAAGGCGUUGAGAGAUUCAUGGUUAAGGAACUAGGCAAACUGACCCCGUAACUUCGGGAUAAGGGGUCCUCGUGACGAGCGAGGCGCAGAGAAUAGGUCCAGGCAACUGUUUAACAAAAACACAGGGCUGUGCAAACUCGAAAGAUGAAGUAUACAGCCUGACACCUGCCCGGUGCCGGAAGGUUAAGAGGAGAUGUCACACGUAAGUGGAAGCAUUGAAUUGAAGCCCCGGUAAACGGCGGCCGUAACGAUAACGGUCCUAAGGUAGCGAAAUUCCUUGUCGGGUAAGUUCCGACCUGCACGAAUGGUGUAAUGAUCCGGACGCUGUCUCAACCAUGAGCUCAGUGAAAUUGUAGUAUCGGUGAAGAUGCCGAUUACCCGCGAUGGGACGAAAAGACCCCGUGAACCUUUACUACAGCUUAGCAUUGACCUUGGUCAUCCGAUGUGAAGGAUAGGCCGGAGGCUUCGAAGCGGGAGCGCCAGCUUUCGUGGAGCCAUCCUUGAAAUACGGCCCUUUGGCUGUCUGAGGUCUAACGCGUUAUACGCGGACACUGCUUGGUGGGUAGUUUGACUGGGGUGGUCGCCUCCAAAAGCGUAACGGAGGCUUCCAAAGGUGCCCUCGGGCCGAUUGGUAACCGGCCUUACAGAGUGCAAUGGCAUAAGGGCGCUUGACUGGGAGGCAGACAUGCCGAGCAGGCAGGAAACUGGGGCAUAGUGAUCCGGCGGAUGUGUAUGGAAACUCCGUCGCUCAAAGGAUAAAAGGUACUCCGGGGAUAACAGGCUGAUCCCCCCCAAGAGCUCAUAUCGACGGGGUGGUUUGGCACCUCGAUGUCGGCUCGUCACAUCCUGGGGCUGGAGAAGGUCCCAAGGGUUGGGCUGUUCGCCCAUUAAAGUGGCACGCGAGCUGGGUCCAGAACGUCGUGAGACAGUUCGGUCUCUAUCUAUCGUGGGCGUGGGAGUUUUGCGUGGUGCCGUCACUAGUACGAGAGGACCGUGAUGGACAGACCUCCGGUUUACCAGUUGUGCCGCCAGGCGCACCGCUGGGUAUCUGAGUCUGGAUUGGAUAAGCGCUGAAAGCAUCUAAGUGCGAAGCCAGCCGCAAGAUGAGAACUCCAUAGAGGGUCGUCAUAGACGAUGACGUUGAUAGGGCGCAGGUGUAAAGACGGCGACGUCAAAGCCGAGCGUUACUAAUUGCUC